ACUCCUACGGGAGGCAGCAGUAGGGAAUUUUCGCAAUGGAGGAAACUCUGACGGAGCAAUACCGCGUGUGGGAAGAAGAUUUUCGGAUUGUAAACCACUGUUGUAAGGGAAGAACGUUAUUAGUAGGAAAUGGCUAAUAAGUGACGGUACCUUACCAGAAAGGGACGGCUAACUACGUGCCAGCAGCCGCGGUAAUACGUAGGUCCCGAGCGUUAUCCGGAAUUAUUGGGCGUAAAGGGCACGUAGGCGGACAAAUAAGUUUGAUGUCAAAUAUGAUGGCUCAACCAUCAAGAGGCGUUGAAAACUGUUUAUCUAGAAUCUCGGAGAGGUAAGUGGAAUUCCAUGUGU
rnacentral:rRNA from 1 species